AUUGAACGCUGGCGGCAGGCUUAACACAUGCAAGUCGAGCGGGGGAAGGUAGCUUGCUACUGGACCUAGCGGCGGACGGGUGAGUAAUGCUUAGGAAUCUGCCUAUUAGUGGGGGACAACAUCUCGAAAGGGAUGCUAAUACCGCAUACGUCCUACGGGAGAAAGCAGGGGAUCUUCGGACCUUGCGCUAAUAGAUGAGCCUAAGUCGGAUUAGAUAGUUGGUGGGGUAAAGGCCUACCAAGGCGACGAUCUGUAGCGGGUCUGAGAGGAUGAUCCGCCAAACUGGGACGGAGACACGGCCCAGACUCCUACGGGAGGCAGCAGUGGGGAAUAUUGGACAAUGGGGGGAACCCUGAUCCAGCCAUGCCGCGUGUGUGAAGAAGGCCUUAUGGUUGUAAAGCACUUUAAGCGAGGAGGAGGCUACUCUAGUUAAUACCUAGGGAUAGUGGACGUUACUCGCAGAAUAAGCACCGGCUAACUCUGUGCCAGCAGCCGCGGUAA
rnacentral:rRNA from 1 species